CAAGGAACUAGAUUUAAGCUUUGGAGGGAUCGGAAAUUAAGGGACUGUAAGGAGGAUGUGAUUCAUACUAUUCUCCCUCUCCCCCUCCCACACACGACCGUAAGUCUCCCCGCUCGGCCUUCGGGGACGCGGCCCUGAUCUCUCCGCGGCCUGUGUCCCUGUCGCUUGCUCCUGUCGCUCCGGACCACUGUGUCUGGGGCGCCCUCCGCCUGGCUUCUCCUAGCCCCCGGGAGGAGGCGCUGGUGCCCGGGUCGGCCUCCGGUCCCUCCCAGCCGGCGUCCUGGAGCCCCCAUUCACAAAGCUCGGCUUGGAGGAGGCGACACACACACACACACACACACACACACACACACAGCUCGGCUUGGAGGAGGCGACACACACACACACACACACACACACACACACACACACACACACACACAGCGAAGAGGGGAGUUUGAUCUUGUCUCAUUGGCGUCUCGGGCCUGAAAAGGAAAAUCGUUUGGGUAAACAGCCAAGCUUCCAGGCUUAACGCCCGGCUCCCGCCCCCGCCCCUCCGCCCCCUCCCGCCUCCCCCACUCCCCUUCAACCCCACCCGCCACCCACACUCCGCUCCGCAGCCGGGCCCCGAGCGAGCUCCGCGCGCCCGGGCGGGAGCCGAGGGCUCCCCGGGUUCAAAGGGCCGCAGCCCCGAGGGAAUGCCCUCCUCGCUGUGCCCCGGGGGGCAGAAGCGGACUGCAGGGCGGUGGGACCGGCCUGGGCCACGGGCCAGCCCAGCACUGCAGCUUUGCGAACUCCUGGGGCUUAGAGCAAGGAAUGGAGGGAAGCCGGGCAGAGAAGGCGGCCUCAUACACCUGCCGCCCCGCGGCACCACGAGCCUCCACCUGGGACCCGCUGCAGCCAGAACACCACAAGACCUGGGAACUUACGCCGGUUCCUCACCCGCCUCCUUGUCCCCCAGGGAGUGCGAGCUGUAGAGCAGUGGAGACAUCUGUAAGUGAGGGCCAAGCACCGACACGCACAACUUUGCAAAGUCAGUUUAACCAGCGAGCUUUUUACCCACUUUAUUCCCUCCCUCAUUUUUGAUUUCAAUAUUGAUAACAUGCCCACCGUUUCACAUCUUUAUGGUAAUAGUGGCAAAUGAAUUCAUUUAACGACUUGGGGGCCGGGCGGGAGCGUUUCAAGCGUUCAGCGGAGGAUAACUUCCCAGGGCAACUUCUCCCUAGGACCCUCCCACAUCCCCUCUUAAUGGUGGGACUUUUCAUAAUGUGCACAAUACUAUUAAAAUUUCAUAUUAGC
rnacentral:lncRNA from 1 species